rnacentral:rRNA from 1 species
CCAUGCGAGUCAUAUGUUCUUCGUGAACAUGGCGUACUGCUCAGUAACACGUGGAUAACCUGCCCUUGGGUCCGGCAUAACCCCGGGAAACUGGGGAUAAUUCCGGAUAACGCAUAUAUGCUGGAAUGCUUUCUGCGUAAAAUGGAUUCGUCUGCCCAAGGAUGGGUCUGCGGCCUAUCAGGUAGUAGUGGGUGUAAUGUACCUACUAGCCGACGACGGGUACGGGUUGUGAGAGCAAGAGCCCGGAGAUGGAUUCUGAGACAUGAAUCCAGGCCCUACGGGGCGCAGCAGGCGCGAAAACUUUACAAUGCGGGAAACCGUGAUAAGGGGACACCGAGUGCCAGCAUCAUAUGCUGGCUGUCCGGGUGUGUAAAAUACACCCGUUAGCAAGGGCCGGGCAAGACCGGUGCCAGCCGCCGCGGUAACACCGGCGGCCCGAGUGGUGAUCGUGAUUAUUGGGUCUAAAGGGUCCGUAGCCGGUUUGGUCAGUCCUCCGGGAAAUCUGAUAGCUCAACUAUUAGGCUUUCGGGGGAUACUGCCAGGCUUGGAACCGGGAGAGGUAAGAGGUACUACAGGGGUAGGAGUGAAAUCUUGUAAUCCCUGUGGGACCACCUGUGGCGAAGGCGUCUUACCAGAACGGGUUCGACGGCGAGGGACGAAAGCUGGGGGCACGAACCGGAUUAGAUACCCGGGUAGUCCCAGCCGUAAACGAUGCUCGCUAGGUGUCAGGCAUGGCGCGACCGUGUCUGGUGCCGCAGGGAAGCCGUGAAGCGAGCCACCUGGGAAGUACGGCCGCAAGGCUGAAACUUAAAGGAAUUGGCGGGGGAGCACAACAACGGGUGGAGCCUGCGGUUUAUUGGACUCAACGCCGGACAACUCACCGGGGGCGACAGCAAUAUGUAGGCCAAGCUGAAGACUUCGCCUGAAU